rnacentral:rRNA from 1 species
UACGUAGGGACCAAGCGUUGUUCGGAUUUACUGGGCGUAAAGGGCGCGUAGGCGGCGUGUUAAGUCAGCUGUGAAAUCUCCGAGCUUAACUCGGAACGGUCAGCUGAUACUGAUGUGCUAGAGUGCAGAAGGGGCAAUCGGAAUUCUUGGUGUAGCGGUGAAAUGCGUAGAUAUCAAGAGGAACACCUGAGGUGAAGACGGGCUGCUGGGCUGACACUGACGCUGAGGCGCGAAAGCCAGGGGAGCAAACGGG